GUUUGGACCGUGAGCAAACAGCAGGACCUGCUCCAGGACUUGCUUGCUUCUCUAAAGGGCUGAGAACCCUCAACUGCCAAAGAGUUGUGGGAGGAAGUCAGGCCCCAGGUCAUAAGAAGCAAAGAACUCUUUCUGAGAUGUGAUAAAUCUAUCUCUGAGAGCACUCCUGUUAAAGGUGGUACUUCAAUAUAAGAAGAGUAGCCAGCAUCGAUCGGAAGGCAGCCCCCACCAACCCUACUACACACAAGACACCACAGUUUUUUGCACCAGUGCAUCUCAUCUGACUUCAUUGGAGUUCAUUCUAUUUCACAGCAGCAAAGUGAGGACAUAGUCCAGUCCAUCUGCUCUGGGGAAGAGAGAGCUGAGAAUGGGGAAGACUGCUUUAAAAUACACCCAGAGGAGAGAGAGAUCAAUGUAUCUCUGCUGAUUCAAGGAGAGCAGGAGGCUGUAUUGUUACCAGCAGGCGCAAAUGAGUCGUACCAGAGGUUUUAAUUUUUGCUGGGCUCUAAAGAAAGCCAUACACGGGAUGCCAACUCAAUGUAUCUUCCACAUGUCCACACCUCUUACCUGUUGACCUUGUAUGUUGCUUCUACUGCAUCAGCUGACAGCAGUCUUAUCAACAGAAUAUUGUGAGCCAUGGCUGGCUUACAUAGCUGCACCUACAUCUGCAUGGAAUUUUCCGCUGCAGGACCCCCAGAGCCUGGAUGAAGCAAAGAAACCCUAAGAUCAUGUAUGAAAUUUCAGUUCUGAUGAAUGAGUUGAGAGAUGACUUAAAUCAGUAAAGUACAUUGGCAUCCAAGUAGGAAGCAAGGUCCAGAAUCCACAUAACAGAGCUGAAACAUGAUGGCAUGAGACGUUUAACUGAUGUCAAAUGUAAAUCCCCUAUUAAAAAGCAGUGUUCUCUA